rnacentral:rRNA from 1 species
AGCGAACGCUGGCGGCAGGCCUAACACAUGCAAGUCGAACGAACCUUUCGGGGUUAGUGGCAGACGGGUGAGUAACACGUGGGAACGUGCCUUUAGGUUCGGAAUAACUCAGGGAAACUUGUGCUAAUACCGAAUGUGCCCUUCGGGGGAAAGAUUAAUCGCCUUUAGAGCGGCCCGCGUCUGAUUAGCUAGUUGGUUGAGGUAAUGGCUCACCAAGGCGACGAUCAGUAGCUGGUCUGAGAGGAUGAUCAGCCACAUUGGGACUGAGACACGGCCCAAACUCCUACGGGAGGCAGCAGUGGGGAAUCUUGCGCAAUGGGCGAAAGCCUGACGCAGCCAUGCCGCGUGAAUGAUGAAGGUCUUAGGAUUGUAAAAUUCUUUCACCGGGGACGAUAAUGACGGUACCCGGAGAAGAAGCCCCGGCUAACUUCGUG